AAUCAAAUUACCUGGAGCCCAGAGGCAGGACUAAGAAUCCAGACUGCUCAUAAUAUCAACAGAAACCAAACAACUUCUUUGAAGGUGCCUUGGAGAAGACUCAGAGUAUCUCCUGAGUCACUGUUUUAACCAAGCAGUGUUCCGGCGUGGAGGAUGGCAAAACCAAGGUAGGAAAGGUAGAAGACACCUUGUGUCUCUCUUGGUGAUGGAGCCCCAGCAACUCUUCCUCUGAUAAGAAGAGCAGUGGCAUCAUGGCCCUUCCAGCCUCGUGAGCUCAUCUGAACCUGCCCCCUUCCCACAGCAGACCUCUUCUGUCGGCCUGCCCUGGUGCUAUCAGGGGGAGGGGAGUUGGUUUCAGUGCUCUAUCUUUUGGAGACCACAAGUAUGCAGGUCAGUCUAUCCCAUCCUGUUCAGAGUUCCAGAGGCCUCUUUGCUGUGGUCAAUAAUAAACCUCACCUUCAGACAAUGCCA